AUUGAACGCUGGCGGCAUGCCUUACACAUGCAAGUCGAACGGCAGCACGGGAGCUUGCUCCUGGUGGCGAGUGGCGAACGGGUGAGUAAUACAUCGGAACGUACCCUGAAGUGGGGGAUAACGUAGCGAAAGUUACGCUAAUACCGCAUAUUCUGUGAGCAGGAAAGAGGGGGAUCGCAAGACCUCUUGCUUUAGGAGCGGCCGAUGUCGGAUUAGCUAGUUGGUGAGGUAAAGGCUCACCAAGGCGACGAUCCGUAGCGGGUCUGAGAGGAUGAUCCGCCACACUGGCACUGAGACACGGCCCAGACUCCUACGGGAGGCAGCAGUGGGGAAUUUUGGACAAUGGGCGCAAGCCUGAUCCAGCCAUGCCGCGUGAGUGAAGAAGGCCUCGGUUGUAAGAC
rnacentral:rRNA from 1 species